CCUACGGGUGGCUGCAGUGGGGAAUAUUGGACAAUGGGCGAAAGCCUGAUCCAGCCAUGCCGCGUGUGUGAAGAAGGCCUUCGGGUUGUAAAGCACUUUCAGUGGGGAAGAAAGCCUUGGGGCUAAUACCCUCGAGGAAGGACAUCACCCACAGAAGAAGCACCGGCUAACUCCGUGCCAGCAGCCGCGGUAAUACGAGGGUGCGAGCGUUAAUCGGAAUUACUGGGCGUAAAGCGCGCGUAGGCGGUCUGAUAAGCCGGUUGUGAAAGCCCCGGGCUCAACCUGGGAACGGCAUCCGGAACUGUCAGGCUAGAGUGCAGGAGAGGAAGGUAGAAUUCCCGGUGUAGCGGUGAAAUGCGUAGAGAUCGGGAGGAAUACCAGUGGCGAAGGCGGCCUUCUGGACUGACACUGACGCUGAGGUGCGAAAGCGUGGGUAGCAAACAGGAUUAGAUACCCGGGUAGUC
rnacentral:rRNA from 1 species